rnacentral:rRNA from 1 species
UACGUAGGGGGCAAGCGUUGUCCGGAAUCAUUGGGCGUAAAGAGCGUGUAGGCGGUCUGGUAGGUCCGUUGUGAAAACUCGAGGCUCAACCUCGAGACGCCGAUGGAAACCAUCAGACUAGAGUCCGGAAGAGGAGAGUGGAAUUCCUGGUGUAGCGGUGAAAUGCGCAGAUAUCAGGAGGAACACCGGUGGCGAAGGCGGGUCUCUGGGCCGAUACUGACGCUGAGGAGCGAAAGCGUGGGGAGCAAACAGG